rnacentral:rRNA from 1 species
UCUUAAUCAUUGAAUCAAUGGUUCUUGAGAUAACGUAAGGGAUAAAAAUGAUAGUACCUUACUAUAAGUGUUGUCCAACAAUACUGGUGCCAGAAGACUCGGUAACGCCAGAAACGCAAACGUUAGUCGUCCUAAUCAGGCGUAAAGGGUAAGUAGGCUGCUUUGAAAGUUGUUAAUUAGAAAGCUCUUUAAAAAUUUUUUAAAGGUAAUUGAUAAUGAAUUAAAGCUAGAAUCAAAUAGGGGAUAAGCCAAAUAAUAUUUAGUGUAAGGCUAAUAUCUUUAGAUACUAAAUGGAAUACUAAGGUGAAAACUUUUAUCUACUAAUGAUUGACGCUGAGGAACGAAGGUGAGAAUAGAAAACAGGAUUAGAGACCCAGGUAUCUCUCACUGUCAACGAUGAAUGGUAGUUGUUAGUUAAACUUAACUAGUAACGAUGUUAACGCGUUAACCAUUCCGCCUUGCGAGUAC